rnacentral:rRNA from 1 species
UGGGGAAUAUUGGACAAUGGAGGAAACUCUGAUCCAGCAAUUCUGUGUGUGUGAAGAAGGUUUUAGGACUGUAAAACACUUUUAGUAGGGAAGAAAAAAAUGACGGUACCUACAGAAGAAGCAACAGCUAAAUACGUGCCAGCAGCCGCGGUAAUACGUAUGUUGCGAGCGUUAUCCGGAAUUAUUGGGCUUAAAGGGCAUCUAGGCGGUAAGACAAGUUGAAGGUGAAAACCUGUGGCUCAACCAUAGGCUUGCCUACAAAACUGUUGAACUAGAGUACUGGAAAGGUGGGUGGAACUACACGAGUAGAGGUGAAAUUCGUAGAUAUGUGUAGGAAUGCCGAUGAUGAAGAUAACUCACUGGACAGAAACUGACGCUGAAGUGCGAAAGCUAGGGGAGCAAACAGG